UACAGAGGUCCCAAGCGUUGUUCGGAUUCAUUGGGCGUAAAGGGUGCGUAGGCGGCGCGGUAAGUCGGGUGUGAAAUCUCGGGGCUUAACUCCGAAACUGCAUUCGAUACUGCCGUGCUUGAGGACUGGAGAGGAGACUGGAAUUUACGGUGUAGCGGUGAAAUGCGUAGAUAUCGUAAGGAAGACCAGUGGCGAAGGCGGGUCUCGUGGACAGUUCCUGACGCUGAGGCACGAAGGUCAGGGGAGCAAACGGG
rnacentral:rRNA from 1 species